rnacentral:rRNA from 1 species
AUUCGAGCAACGCGAAGACCUUACCAGUCUGACAUCUCGACACCCUAGAGAUAGGCUCUCUUCGGGAGCAGAGUGACAGUGGGCAUGGUGUCGUCAGCUCGUGUCGUGAGAUGUGGGUAAGUCCCGCACGAGCGCAACCUGAUCUUAGUUGCCAUCAUUAAGUGGCACUCUAAGUGCUGCCGUGACAACCGGAGAAGUGGGAUGACGUCAAAUCAUCAUGCCCGUAUGACGUGGCUACACACGUGCUACAAUGGACGGUACAAAGAGCUGCAAGACCGCGAGGUGGAGCUAAUCUCAUAAAACCGUUCUCAGUUCGGAUUGUAGGCUGCAACUCGCCUACAUGAAGCUGGAAUCGCUAGUAAUCGCGGAUCAGCAUGCCGCGGUGAAUACGUUCCCGGGCCUUGUACACACCGCCCGUCACACCACGAGAGUUUGUAACACCCGAAGUCGGUGGGGUAACCUUUGGAGCCAGCCGCCUAAGGGGGACAGAGAUGGGGGAAGUGAAACAAGGUAACCUAAUCUAGAGCAUCGCGAGGUACCGAGCUC